AGAGUUUGAUCCUGGCUCAGGAUGAACGCUAGCGGCAGGCUUAACACAUGCAAGUCGAGGGGCAGCACAGAUUGCUUGCAAUCUGGUGGCGACCGGCGCACGGGUGCGUAACGCGUAUACAAUCUACCUUAUAGAGGGGGAUAGCCCAGAGAAAUUUGGAUUAAUACCCCAUAGUAUUAUAGAACAGCAUUGUUUUAUGAUUAAACAUUUAUGGCUAUAAGAUGAGUAUGCGUCCUAUUAGUUAGUUGGUAAGGUAACGGCUUACCAAGACCGCGAUAGGUAGGGGUCCUGAGAGGGAGAUCCCCCACACUGGUACUGAGACACGGACCAGACUCCUACGGGAGGCAGCAGUGAGGAAUAUUGGACAAUGGGCGAGAGCCUGAUCCAGCCAUGCCGCGUGCAGGAAGACGGCCCUAUGGGUUGUAAACUGCUUUUAUACAGGAAGAAACACUCCCUCGUGAGGGAGCUUGACGGUACUGUAAGAAUAAGGAUCGGCUAACUCCGUGCCAGCAGCCGCGGUAAUACGGAGGAUCCAAGCGUUAUCCGGAAUCAUUGGGUUUAAAGGGUCCGUAGGCGGGAUAAUAAGUUAGCGGUGAAAGUCUGUGGCUCAACCAUAGAAUUGCCAUUGAUACUGUUGUUCUUGAGUGCUUAUGAAGUGGUUAGAAUAUGUAGUGUAGCGGUGAAAUGCAUAGAUAUUACAUGGAAUACCGAUUGCGAAGGCAGAUCACUAAUAAGAUACUGACGCUGAUGGACGAAAGCGUAGGUAGCGAACAGGAUUAGAUACCCUGGUAGCCUACGCCGUAAACGAUGGUUACUAGCUGUUUGGUCGUAAGACUGAGUGGCUAAGCGAAAGUGAUAAGUAGCCCACCUGGGGAGUACGUUCGCAAGAAUGAAACUCAAAGGAAUUGACGGG
rnacentral:rRNA from 1 species